GGGUCUGCGUUUCAUUAGCUAGUUGGUAGGGUAAUGGCCUACCAAGGCAACGAUGAGUAGCUGGUCUGAGAGGAUGAUCAGCCACACUGGAACUGAAACACGGUCCAGACUCCUACGGGAGGCAGCAGUGGGGAAUAUUGCGCAAUGGGCGAAAGCCUGACGCAGCAACGCCGUGUGAGGGAUGAAGGCUUUCGGGUCGUAAACCUCUGUCGGAAGGGAAGAACGGGCAUUGGUCUAAUAGGCCUUUGUUUUGACGGUACCUUUAGAGGAAGCACCGGCUAACUCCGUGCCAGCAGCCGCGGUAAUACGGAGGGUGCAAGCGUUAUUCGGAAUUACUGGGCGUAAAGCGCACGUAGGCCGCUUUGUAAGUCAGGGGUGAAAUCCCACGGCUCAACCGUGGAACUGCCUUUGAAACUGCAGAGCUUGAAUCCUGGAGAGGGUGGCGGAAUUCCUGGUGUAGGAGUGAAAUCCGUAGAUAUCAGGAGGAACACCGGUGGCGAAGGCGGCCACCUGGACAGGCAUUGACGCUGAGGUGCGAAAGUGUGGGGAGCAAACAGGAUUAGAUACCCUGGUAGUCCACACCGUAAACGAUGGACACUAGAUGUCGGAG
rnacentral:rRNA from 1 species